AUUGAACGCUGGCGGCAGGCCUAACACAUGCAAGUCGAACGAGUGGCGGACGGGUGAGUAAUGUCUGGGAAACCGUCCGAUGGAGGGGGAUAACUACUGGAAACGGUAGCUAAUACCGCAUACCAUCGGAUGUGCCCAGAUGGGAUUAGCCUGUGGGUGGGGUAACGGCUCACCUAGGCGACGAUCCCUAGCUGGUCUGUGAGGAUGACCAGCCACACUGGGACGGAGACACGGUCCAGACUCCUACGAGGGGCAGCGGUGGGGAAUAUUGCACAGUGGGCGCGAGCCUGAUGCAGCCAUGCCGCGUGUAUGAAGAGGGCCUUCGGGUUGUAAAGUACUUUCAGCAGGGAGGCGUUACCCGCAGAAGAAGCACCGGCUAACUCCGUGCCAGCAGCCGCGGUAAUUC
rnacentral:rRNA from 1 species